UACGUAGGGGGCAAGCGUUAUCCGGAAUCAUUGGGCGUAAAGCGCGCGUAGGCGGCCAGAUAAGUCCGGUGUGAAAGUCACAGGCUCAACCUGUGAAUGCCGCUGGAAACUGUCUGGCUAGAGUCCGGAAGGGGCGAGUGGAAUUCCUGGUGUAGCGGUGAAAUGCGCAGAUAUCAGGAGGAACACCAAUGGCGAAGGCAGCUCGCUGGGACGGUACUGACGCUGAGACGCGAAAGCGUGGGGAGCAAACAGG
rnacentral:rRNA from 1 species